CACGUAGGGCGCGAGCGUUGUCCGGAAUUAUUGGGCGUAAAGAGCUCGUAGGCGGCCUGUUGCGUCCGCUGUGAAAGCCCGGGGCUUAACCCCGGGUCGCAGUGGAUACGGGCAGGCUAGAGGUAGGUAGGGGAGAAUGGAAUUCCCGGUGUAGCGGUGAAAUGCGCAGAUAUCGGGAGGAACACCGGUGGCGAAGGCGGCGACCUGGGCCAAUAUUGACGCUGAGGUGCGAAAGCGUGGGGAGCAAACAGG
rnacentral:rRNA from 1 species